CACUGUGAAGCUAAAAAGCAUUAACCUAUUAAGUUAAAGAUUGAAAGUUAUAACCUCUCCACAGUGG
rnacentral:tRNA from 1 species